AUUGAACGCUGGCGGCAGGCCUAACACAUGCAAGUCGAGCGGAUGAAGGGAGCUUGCUCCUGGAUUCAGCGGCGGACGGGUGAGUAAUGCCUAGGAAUCUGCCUGGUAGUGGGGGAUAACGUCCGGAAACGGGCGCUAAUACCGCAUACGUCCUGAGGGAGAAAGUGGGGGAUCUUCGGACCUCACGCUAUCAGAUGAGCCUAGGUCGGAUUAGCUAGUUGGUGGGGUAAAGGCGUACCAAGGCGACGAUCCGUAACUGGUGUGAGAGGAUGAUCAGUCACACUGGAACUGAGACACGGUCCAGACUCCUACGGGAGGGAGCAGUGGGGAAUAUUGGACAAUGGGCGAAAGCCUGAUCCAGCCAUGCCGCGUGUGUGAAGAAGGUCUUCGGAUUGUAAAGCACUUUAAGUUGGGAGGAAGGGCAGUAAGUUAAUACCUUGCUGUUUUGACGUUACCAACAGAAUAAGCACCGGCUAACUUCGUG
rnacentral:rRNA from 1 species